UGGAUUAAUAUUACGGCAAUAUUCGGGUGCUUAUUACCACAGAGCUGUAAACGGAAAGCGAGGCUGUCCGUUUUUCUCACUGUCUCCGCGGGGCGACGUAAAACACUGCGGCUGCGCAGUAAGAAGAAGCUGUGAGCGCAACUGUGGGCGCGGGUGAUGUAGUUAAAUCUUAAAGAAAAGCGUAGCUUGGGUGGGCCGCUCCUGCUCUGAACACGAUGAGGCUGACCCAAGCACACUUGCAAUGGAGCAUGUCCCACCAAGUUUAGUAAGACUUCAUUACGAGUUAACAUGCUUUAAAAACCUGGAAUCCCAUUCACGCUUAUGUGGGAGCGACUCCAAUUGAAGUCAGAGGUCCUUACUUGUGAGCAGAAAUGCUGUAUGAUUUGAGAUGCAGGACUGUGUAAAGUUGGGCAAGUGUUCGCCUAAACCCAUUGAAGUCAAUACAUAGCACUGAGCUAUGUGGCCGCGUUUACAUAUACAAGACCAUUUCGCUCUCCAUCUCCUCCCUCGGCGCCUCCUAAUACCCACAGAAAAUGAGGGAAGAGUGAUGCUGUGCAGAAGCCCAUUAUGAGGCACAUGACUUUCGUCCACCAGUCAGAGGAGCAGAAGACUUCCCCUGCUACCCCCCCAAGUAACGCCCAAAAAAUAUGUGCUUUUGUACACAUUACUUGGCUGGAGAACUGCUUACAAAAUUCAGAGGAGUGCAAAUUUCAUAGGAUGGCUGCGUUUCAGUUUGCAUAUUGUUUAACAAAGUGCAAAUUAGCACCGUAAUCGUAUGGCAUACACCUUUCCUGCUUGGAACCAGUACUCUUUCAGUAGAUGGCAGUCAAAGACCAUCAUAAGAGAUUCACACAGCUCAGCGGGGUGGUGAUCAUUUAGCAAAACAUGCAGCUUAUUAAUGAGAACAUCUUUCCACUGCUGUAGCCU